UCGGCCACUGCUCUUCUCGCCCCGUUCGCGGACCUGUGGAGCAUCCGGAGCAAUAGGAGAGUCCUCCCAGGGAAGUUCCGGAAGGAGAAUGAGGGCCAAUUAGGACAACGGAGGCACAAGAGACUGCCUAAAGGCAGGGCUAUAGGAGAGAACUCUUGAGAGAGAGGAACUAGCCCUAGCCCCUCCCUAAACGAAACAGGCCAAGCAUUGAACUCAUUAACCCACUGAUAGAUAGAGGGAUGAACCGACCAGAUUCUGCAAGGGUAGCUGUUUACCUUUCGACUCUGGAAGCCCCUUACUGGAAGAUAAAAGAUCUUGAAAGUUGAGAUCACCUUGGGCACAGGAAAAUGCGGUGGGAUUUUCCAGUCUUUUCCCCACUCCAGCUCUGUUUAUUUACAAAAUGAUAAAUUCUUUUUUAAUGCACAGGCUGGUCCCAAACUCAGGAUUUACAGAGUGAAUCCAGAUUUAAUGGAUUUACAGGUAGCCUUGGCUCACCUGGAACUCACUCUGUAGACUGUCUCUGAACUCACGGAGACCUUCCUGCCUCUGCUGGGAUUAAAGGUACGCACCACUACUCCCUAGCUUCCUUUGAUGAUUUUUUUUAAAGAUUUGUUGAUUAUGUAUAUAGUGUUCAGCCUGCUUGUAUGCCUGUAAACUAGAAGAGGGCACCAGAUCUCACUGUAGAUGGUUGUGAGCCAUUGUGUGGUUGCUGGGAAUUGAUAACCUCUGAGCCAUCCAUCUCUCCAGCU